GCCUGGCUGGCUCCGUAGGUGGAGCAUGCGACUCCUGAUCUUGGGGUUGUGGGUUCAAGUCCCACACUGGGUG
rnacentral:tRNA from 1 species